rnacentral:rRNA from 1 species
AAAUUGAAGAGUUUGAUCAUGGCUCAGAUUGAACGCUGGCGGCAGGCCUAACACAUGCAAGUCGAACGGUAACAGGAARMAGCUUGCUUCUUUGCUGACGAGUGGCGGACGGGUGAGUAAUGUCUGGGAAACUGCCUGAUGGAGGGGGAUAACUACUGGAAACGGUAGCUAAUACCGCAUAACGUCGCAAGACCAAAGAGGGGGACCUUCGGGCCUCUUGCCAUCRGAUGUGCCCAGAUGGGAUUAGCUAGUAGGUGGGGUAACGGCUCACCUAGGCGACGAUCCCUAGCUGGUCUGAGAGGAUGACCAGCCACACUGGAACUGAGACACGGUCCAGACUCCUACGGGAGGCAGCAGUGGGGAAUAUUGCACAAUGGGCGCAAGCCUGAUGCAGCC